UAACUAUAUGCUUCCCAUCUCUCUGAAAAGCUGGGAAGCCCAAAAUAUUUUGGAUUGUUUUGGCAGCACAAGCAGCCAGCUGUUGACUGGAGUUCCACAGAACCAGCCAGGGAUGUCAGUGGCUGACUCUGGCAUCUGUGUUAUGAAUGAUAUCUUGGGAUAAAAUCCCACCCCCUGUAGUUUCUUGGCAGCUUAAGAAUCUCAGACUGAGAUGAAAACAUGGCUUUCAAUGCCUCAGUGAGUCGCUGGAAUAUUUUGGAACUGCUUGAGCCAGUAUGAGAUUUGUGCACAUCUCUGAUUUUCAAUCCAGCUUUGAACUGAUAUUCAACACCCGAGAAGUAGAAUCUUAAAAUGAAAAACAUCUUUAAUUGGUUCAAAGGUCCCAAGUUCCAUUACCUCUGAAGAAAGAAUCUUAUAGAGGUUUUUCUGAUCUUUCAUCUGCCCACAAUUGCCUUUCCUAAUCAAAAGUAGCAAGCGGGUUGUGACCAUCUUGACCAAAUGAAGCGAGAAGGUUUCACCUCAUUUCACUUCUGUUUGCUUCUAACGAACAGAAUAUGGCAAAAAGGAUGGGAUGUCACUUCCAAGAUAAGAUUAUGAAAGACUAUGACUUCCUUUUUUGUCUGUCCCUCCCUCCUUUUCUCCCUCUUUCUUUGAUAAAACAAGCUGUCAUGUUAAAAGCUACCCUAUGGAGAAGCCCAUAUGGCAAACAAUGGAGGCCGGUCUUUGGCCAACAAGGUAGAAAUUGAGGCCCUUGGUCCAACAACCUGGAAGAAAGUGAAUUCUGCAACAAGUGAGUGUGCAAAAGCAGACCCCCCACCCCCCCACAACUGAACCUUGAGAUGAUUCUAGCUCCAACUGACACCUUGAUUUCAACCUUGUUGAGAGACUUGAGCAGGAGGACCCAGUUAAACUGUACCUGAUUCCUCACCCGAUGACACUGUGAGAUAAUAAAUGUGUGUUAUUUUAAGGGGCUAAAUGUGGGGGCAAUUAGUUACACAGCAAUAGACAACUAAAUAUACUCUUUCUUCUAAAAACAUAUACUCAAUUAAAGGAAUAAAGUUUAAUAUAAGGUAAGAUA